rnacentral:rRNA from 1 species
CAAGUCGUACGGGUGUAGCAAUACACCAGUGGCGGACGGGUGAGUAAUGAAUCGCUAAUGUACCCCAGAGUCUGGGAUAGCUGCCCGAAAGGGCAGGUAAUACCAGAUGAUAUAUCCGGUUGGCAUCAACUGGAUCUCAAAGGGCAAUCGCUCUGGGAGCAGGCGAUUUCGUAUCAGCUUGUUGGUGAGGUAACGGCUCACCAAGGCGACGACGCGUAGCUGGUCUGAGAGGACGGCCAGCCACAUUGGGACUGAGACACUGCCCAGACUCCUACGGGGGGCUGCAGUAACGAAUCUUCCGCAAUGCACGCAAGUGUGACGGAGCGACGCCGCGUGUGGGACGAAGUCCUUCGGGAUGUAAACCACUGUCAGGGGUUACCAAGUUCUGAGGAGCCCCAGAGGAAGAGACGGCUAACUCUGUGCCAGCAGCCGCGGUAAUACAGAGGUCUCGAGCGUUAGGCGGAAUCACUGGGCUUAAAGCGUGUGUAGGUGGAUGCCUAAGUACCUUGUGAAAUCCCACAGCUUAACUGUGGAACUGCUUGGUAUACUGGGUGUCUUGAGUCACUCAGGGGCGAGCGGAACAAAUGGUGGAGCGGUGAAAUGCGUAGAUAUCAUUUGGAACGCCAAUGGUGAAAACAGCUCGCUGGGGGUGCACUGACACUGAGACACGAAAGCCAGGGGAGCGAACGGGAUUAGAUACCCCGGUAGUCCUGGCCGUAAACGAUGUCGACUAGAUCGUGGUGGCUCUGACGUCAUCACGGUCGAAGCAAAAGUGCUAAGUCGACCGCCUGGGAAGUACGGUCGCAAGGCUAAAACUCAAAGGAAUUGACGGGGGCUC